AUUGAACGCUGGCGGCAGGCCUAACACAUGCAAGUCGAGCGGAUGAAGGGAGCUUGCUCCUGGAUUCAGCGGCGGACGGGUGAGUAAUGCCUAGGAAUCUGCCUGGUAGUGGGGGAUAACGUCCGGAAACGGGCGCUAAUACCGCAUACGUCCUGAGGGAGAAAGUGGGGGAUCUUCGGACCUCACGCUAUUAGAUGAGCCUAGGUCGGAUUAGCUAGUUGGUGGGGUAAAGGCCUACCAAGGCGACGUUCCGUAACUGGUCUGAGAGGAUGAUCAGUCACACUGGAACUGAGACACGGUCCAGACUCCUACGGGAGGCAGCAGUGGGGAAUAUUGGACAAUGGGCGAAAGCCUGAUCCAGCCAUGCCGCGUGUGUGAAGAAGGUCUUCGGAUUGUAAAGCACUUUAAGUUGGGAGGAAGGGCAGUAAGUUAAUACCUUGCUGUUUUGACGUUACCAACAGAAUAAGCACCGGCUAACUUCGUG
rnacentral:rRNA from 1 species